rnacentral:sRNA from 1 species
GCUGUGCAUGGUGGCACAUGCCUGUAAUCCCAGAGGCUCAGGAGGCUGAGACAGGAGGAUUGGAGUUUGAAAGCCAGCCUUGUCAAAAGGAGGAGCUAAGCAACUCAGUGAGACCCUGUCUCUA